rnacentral:rRNA from 1 species
CCUACGGGAGGCAGCAGUGGGGAAUAUUGGGCAAUGGAGGCAACUCUGACCCAGCAAUGCCGCGUGAGUGAUGAAGGUAAUUUUAUUGUAAAGCUCUUUUCUUUGGAACGAAUAAAUGACGGUACCAAAGGAAUAAGCCCCGGCUAACUACGUGCCAGCAGCCGCAGUAAUACGUAGGGGGCCAGCGUUGUUCGGGAUGCUUGGGCGUAAAGGGUGUGUAGGUGUUCUGAUAAGUUGUAUGUGUAAUCCCCAGGGCUUAACUCGGGUGGUGGAUCGACAACUGUUUACAUUGAGUACUGGAGAGGAUAGUGGAAUUCGUAGGGUAGCGGUGGAAUGCGUAGAUAUUAGGAGGAACAUCAGUGGCGAAGGCGAGUAUCUGGACAGCAACUGACACUGAGGCACGAAAGCGUGGGGAGCAAACAGGAUUAGAUACCCCUGUAGUC